rnacentral:rRNA from 1 species
AGAGUUUGAUCCUGGCUCAGAACGAACGCUGGCGGCGCGUUUUAAGCAUGCAAGUCGAGCGGCAGGGGGGCUUCGGUCCCCCGAGAGCGGCGGACGGGUGAGUAACACGUGGACAACCUGCCCCCCGGUUCGGGAUAGCCCAGGGAAACCUGGAUCAAUACCGGAUGCGAGGGCGGCCGCACAAGCGGCCGUCGGGAAAGGCGCUUCGGCGCCGCCGGGGGAUGGGUCCGCGUCCCAUUAGCUAGACGGUGGGGUAACGGCCCACCGUGGCGAUGAUGGGUAGCCGGCCUGAGAGGGUGGACGGCCACAUUGGAACUGAGACACGGUCCAGACUCCUACGGGAGGCAGCAGCUAAGAAUCUUCCGCAAUGGGCGAAAGCCUGACGGAGCGACGCCGCGUGAACGAAGAAGGCCGUGAGGUUGUAAAGUUCUUUUCGGGAGGGGGAACGAGGCUGCCAGGCAAUGGGCGGCCGAUGACGUGAAUCCCGGAAUAAGCCCCGGCUAACUACGUGCCAGCAGCCGCGGUAACACGUAGGGGGCGAGCGUUGUUCGGAAUCAUUGGGCGUAAAGGGCGUGCAGGCGGCCGCCAAAGUCCGGCGUGAAAGACCCAGGCUCAACCUGGGGGGUGCGCCGGAUACUGGGCGGCUUGAGUACAGGAGGGGACGGCGGAAUUCCAGGUGUAGGGGUGAAAUCUGUAGAUAUCUGGAGGAACACCGAUGGCGAAGGCAGCCGUCUGGCCAUGUACUGACGCUGAGGCGCGAAGGUGCGGGGAGCAAACAGGUUUAGAUACCCUGGUAGUCCGCACAGUAAACGAUGUGCACCAGGCGGCGGGGGCAACCUCGCUGCCGCAGUCAACGCAUUAAGUGCACCGCCUGGGGAGUAUGCCCGCAAGGGUGAAACUCAAAGGAAUUGACGGGGGCCCGCACAAGCGGU